AACGAACGCUGGCGGCAGGCCUAACACAUGCAAGUCGAACGCUGCAGCAAUGCAGAGUGGCAGACGGGUGAGUAACGCGUGGGAACCUUCCCAGUGGUACGGAAUAGCCCAGGGAAACUUGGGGUAAUACCGUAUAAGCCCCUAGGGGGAAAGAUUUAUCGCCAUUGGAUGGGCCCGCGUCGGAUUAGCUAGUUGGUGAGGUAACGGCUCACCAAGGCGACGAUCCGUAGCUGGUCUGAGAGGAGGAUCAGCCACACUGGGACAGAGACACGGCCCAGACUCCUCCGGGAGGCAGCAGUGGGGAAUAUUGGACAGUGGGCGCAAGCCUGAUCCAGCCAUGCCGCGUGAGUGACGAAGGCCUUAGGGUUGUAAAGCGCUUUUGGCGGGGACGAUAAUGACGGUACCCGCAGAAUAAGCUCCGGCUAACUUCGUGCCAGCAGCCGCCGUAA
rnacentral:rRNA from 1 species